CGCCUCGCCGAGCGAGAGGCGGAGCGCGGCCAUGUCGAGCAGCAGCCAGGCCACCGAGGCGGCGAACACGAAGGGCCCGGGAGCCACGCUGGCGGACACGGCAGCCUCCGGUGGGCCGAGCCGACAGCGCCAAGGAAGGAACGGGCGGGGAACCACCCUCCUGCUCCGGUUCGGGCUCCUGCUCCCAGGCCGGGACGUGGCAGGCUCUGCCGGCAGGGCUGGCUGUGCUCGCUGUCCUGGCUGUGCCAGCUGUGCCGUGUGCGCUGGUUGUCCUGGCAGGGCAGGCUGCACUGGCUGUGGUGGCUCUCCUGGCUGUCCUGGCUGUCCUGGCAGUGCUGGCACAGCCACGGCGGAGCCCCAUGAGGCGACAGCACCGAGAGAGCAGCGCAUCCCUCGGGAAUGGGAACACCUCGGAGAGUCUCUGCCACCCCACGGCGUCCAGCAGCGGGGUCUGUCACCGCAGGCACUGGCCGCUGAGCUGCCGGGACCCCAGCGGCCAGGGCAGGGCAGCGGCUCCGGCCAGGGAGAGUGCCUGGGGACACGGGCACCGCCGGGGCACCGGGCACGGCCAGGGCAAGGAGCUGUGGGAUCACCUGUGGGCAGCAGCUCCGAGAACUCGGGAUACUGGCACCUGAGUGAAAGAAAAAAAAAACUGAGCUGGUGUUUUGAAGCUUUAUUAAACUUAGCUUAAACUCUCCUAAAGUUCUCUGGUAUUAAUCAAUUUAAUAGCAAUGCACUGUUUCCAAAUCCCAAAGCUGGAGAUUUUGUUAAAUAAAGGGCUCCAACCCACUGCAGUGCGUAUGAAUAUUGAAAAGAAAUAAGUGGAAAAAAUUACAUUAAUAUUCAUACUUCACAAAAUUAACAAUAUCAAAACCCAGCCUAUGGUUAUGUUGUUUGAUGGAAAACAAAGGAAAUGGCCAUUCUGUUGUUUU